AGUGAACGCUGGCGGUAGGCCUAACACAUGCAAGUCGAACGGCAGCACAGGAGAGCUUGCUCUCUGGGUGGCGAGUGGCGGACGGGUGAGGAAUACAUCGGAAUCUACUUUUUCGUGGGGGGUAACGUAGGGAAACUUACGCUAAUACCGCAUACGACCUACGGGUGAAAGCAGGGGAUCUUCGGACCUUGCGCGAUUGAAUGAGCCGAUGUCGGAUUAGCUAGUUGGCGGGGUAAAGGCCCACCAAGGCGACGAUCCGUAGCUGGCCUGAGAGGAUGAUCAGCCACACUGGAACUGAGACACGGUCCAGACUCCUACGGGAGGCAGCAGUGGGGAAUAUUGGACAAUGGGCGCAAGCCUGAUCCAGCCAUACCGCGUGGGCGAAGAAGGCCUUCGGGUUGUAAAGCCCUUUUGUUGGGAAAGAAAUCCAGCUGGUUAAUACCCGGUUGGGAUGACGGUACCCAAAGAAUAAGCACCGGCUAACUUCGUGCCAGCCGCCGCGGUAA
rnacentral:rRNA from 1 species